rnacentral:lncRNA from 1 species
AAAAGGAAGACGAAGGAGAUAGAAAAAUGGAGGAUUUUUUGUUUUUAUUUAUUAGUAUAAACUAGAUGAGUGUUGCCCGUGCAUAGCACAUGCCCAACAAUUUAAAUUAUAAUCGCGUAUUUGCCAAUGAUUACAACUCCAAAUAGCAAUAAAUAGUUAAGGAUAACCAUAUUUCACAAACACAGAAGAACAGUUUCGUCUAUGGUCAAUAGUGACAGAAACAUAAAGCUAUAUAUUACCUCCCGAGGGGCCGGCCAACGUGUGUAAAACUGGGCAAAUAUUUUUAUUUUGCUGUACUUUUGUAUUAAUUAUUAACAAAAUUAAACCUAAGUAUAUGACUAAUUUCUCAUCUCCUACCAUUAUUCUAUACCACAUGAUCAAUAAGAUGUAUCAUGUUUAUGAGUGCUUACACCAUAUACGAAUAACAGAAAUCACAUAGCCCAUUAAAAGCCAUAAACAAUAUUACAAAUAUUUGUGCAUUACUGGAAGCCCGAAAACAUCACUAUUUUGUAUUUGUCCUGGACUAUAUCAAAAGAGCUUCUUGCUCCUGUUCCUAAAAGAGAAUGAGAUAUUAAACAUUUUUUGUACAGAAAGUACUAAUUAAUACAAGUCCAGCACCAAGAAUUUGAAAAACACAAUGAUAUAAAGAUAAGCUAGAGAGAGAGAGGGGAAGGGAGAGAGACCCCAGGGAGAACAAACUACUCUAGAGCUAUACCCAAGUGUCAAGUUACACUCAUUUAGAGAAGAUCGAACAACGUCAUUAAAGGCGAAAAUGUUAUUACUAUAAUCUAAGGAUGCAUCAUCAAUCUAAUUUUUUCUUAAAAGAGUGUGGGAUCCCUGUAUCCUUAAGAUUAAACCGGCCAAUAAUAAAAAAAAAUAUAGAAGAGCUAAUUCUUAUUUUUUUUUGAUAAGCUAAACUCUGACAACUAUAUGAAUAUGCCAAAAUUUAAUGCAAAUAAUCUCCAAAAAAAUGGGACGAUACAUUUCAGUUACCCUCAAAUAAAAGAAAGAAAUAAGCCCAAUCAUAUGAGUAUGAAAUGACUAAAAGGUCCAUUAGUUAUAGAGAACAUACAUAGUUAUGAAGUAGAUACAUUGAUAGAAUUUCUAUCACCACUAUAAAUAUAAAAUAUGGACUUAUACUGAAAUAUUCUUAUAUCAUCUCAACAUUAUCUACUGUAGGUGCUGGUAAAUAAACUUUCCUUUAAUUACUUAUCACAAAAAGGAGGGCAAAAUAAGAACAAAAGAUCCUACUUUUUUCCACUUCAUAACACUACAAGUACCAAACUGAAGUUUCAUAAACCAGAUAUUCAAAGAAACCAAAUAGUUAUUUGUUCAGAGUACAAAUUCUUCAAGACACUAUUGUCACAUAGCACAUUCCUUAAAUCUAGAUAUGUUCAGGGAGUUGUUAUUGCUCAUACUAAUAUACAUACCUCACUGAUCGGAUUCCUUUAAACUUCUCUUUGGUGAAUAAUCAGUCCAUACCAAAAGUCAAAUAAUGAAAAACGAUUUAGAUUUCAACUAAUAUUGGAUAAAAUCUAAUCAAACAAAAAAUGUUCUUCAUGAUAUAGCCAGCUUAAAAUGGUGCUUAAUCUUGAAACUUUGAUUAGAAGUUAAUCAAUAUAAAAUUUGAAUGCUUGAUAAACCAAGUAACAUUAAUGACUAUUCUGUGUUAUUAUGUCUACAAGAGCACCAUAUGUAUGAAAUGCACCGGUUUAGCUGUGUUUUUUCUUUCUCAAAUUUUUAAUUUGUUCUUGUUAUCAAUUUGCAAUACUUUUUUCCUGAUAAGUGCAUCAAUUUGUAACACAUUAAUUCAAUUUACUAUUAUUUAUGAACAAAGAAAAGAACACAGUUAAACCAUGUCAAAGUUAUCAAAUACAUUCCACAAUAAUCGUGCUAAACCAUCCUUUUUUGUUUGUCCUCGAUCUUAGUAUAUAAACUUGAAGAACAAAAUAUGUCAUGACAAUAGUACAAUAUGCUAUAGAGUUAUUGUGUUGUAGU